rnacentral:rRNA from 1 species
AGUGAACGCUGGCGGCAGGCCUAACACAUGCAAGUCGAACGGACACACAGUAAGCGCUUGCCUUUGAGGGUGGCGACUGGCGGACGGGUGACGAAUGCAUAGGCUACCACUUUUACUUGGGGGAUAACGUAGGACAACUUCUAAUAAUACAGCAUAUGAUGUACGGGUGAAAGCAGUAGUUCUUGACGCUUUUCGCGAUUGUAUUAGCCGAUGUCGGAGUAGCUAGUUGGCUGGGUAAAGGCCCACCAAGGCGACGAUGCGUAGCUGGUCUGAGAGGAUGAUCAGCCACACUGGAACUGAGACACGGUCCAGACUCCUACGGGAGGCAGCAGUAGGGAAUAUUGGGCAAUGGGCGAAAGCUUGAUCGAGCAAUACCGCGUGAGUGAUGAAGGCCUUCGGGUUGUAAAGCCCUGUUGUUAGGAAAGAAAAACAGCAGGUGAAUACCCCGCUGUUCUGACGGUACCCAAAGAAUAAGCACCGGCUAACUUCGUG